UACGUAGGGGGCAAGCGUUGUCCGGAUUCAUUGGGCGUAAAGAGCGUGUAGGCGGCCAGGUAGGUCGGUUGUGAAAACUGGAGGCUCAACCUUCAGAGGUCGACCGAAACCAUCUGGCUAGAGUCCGGGAGAGGAGAGUGGAAUUCCUGGUGUAGCGGUGAAAUGCGCAGAUAUCAGGAAGAACACCGGUGGCGAAGGCGGCCUGCUGGGCAGUGGCUGACACUGAGGCGCGACAGCGUGGGGAGCAAACGGG
rnacentral:rRNA from 1 species